CGCGUGUAUAGUAAGUAUGAUUUGAAACAAUUAAUCGGUUUGUUUGUCGAACGACCGGCUUGCCAAACAGCGUUGGAGUGUUAGUGCCAGAAUGGUGAGUACGCAUGCAUGGUGUGAGGUCCCGAACGGAACAUGGAACAGAAAGGUAAGUAUGAACGAAAGUUAGUGAAUGAAUCUGUUUGUAUGAACGGACGCCAGGCGUCUGCCUGAGUGUGGUGUGAAUGGGACCCUUUCGGGAAACUCACGAUUUUGGAACCCUGGAGCAGGUAAAAGUACUGUGAGGCACUGGCUCGUAGCAAGGAUAGCUAGGCAGGAUAGGAGUUGGUACCAAAGUUAGUUUGGGCAAUCUGAAGCUGGAGCACAUAGCACCGAGCACAGACACCGACAGGAUCAUACCGACAGAGGUAAGGAAGGAGCAGGGAGCACUCUGGACGGAAGCAAGACCACGUGGGAGCGAUGUCUUGGUAAGC